CCACGUUGCAAUACAUUUUAUGCACAUUAAAAUAAAACAAGCUUAAAUAAGAAACCGUAUUGAACCUUAAUUUCAGUGUUGCAGCUUUAUAUGUUUGUAUUCUAUCACCGAAAUACAGUCCCUCUGUGUGUUAUAUUAGUUCAGUAAUUAUUUUAUUUUUUAUGUUUAAAAGUAUCUGAGAUAUGAAAAUAUAUAUAACGAAAGAGAAGGCAUCAGUGACUUCUAGAUAUUAAAACAGGUAGAACUGUACCCAUGCUAAACAGCCUGCCCAAAACAGGUAUGCAUACAGCCACAGGCACAAGACGGAAACGAUGUUUUGGUAUAAAUAAGCCGGCAACGCGCUUGCCAUGUCAUAUUCGUUCAAACCGUCUAGACUGAUGGUUUCUCCAUCGACAAGAGAAAUCUCCCGAAGAUCAGCAUCAGCAAGCCGAUUGUAAAAGUGAAAAAGCAAGCCAAUGAAAAACUGAAAGUGUUUUCAAAAUGCAUUAAGCGUCACCAAAAUAUACAGUAAACAUACCGGCAACCAAAGCAAUACCGAUACAAGUGCAAGUGAUCUUCAGAAACCACAUUACCACUGUGAUGGCAUCAAAAACCACCUUUCCAGCGAUGGCAUCAAAAACCACCCAAAGCGAGCCGAGCACAUGGUCUGCGCAACGCCCAUCAAGGUUAUGUGUAUCGGAAUGUGAGAUAAAACUAAAGCGACAUGUAAAUGCCAGCGUGUGGCAUUGUGGCGUUGUGUGAUCGAGAUACAGCGCAAGCACCAUCUUACGAAAGUGCUGAAGUGAUGUGAUUGAAGAAAUGUUUACCAAGUACAAAUCGUCUAAAAAUGGUGUUUGCGUAAAAAUUUCAUUCCGGAAUUAGGAAAUCGAGCGAAUACACGCAGCACAAAGAAGAGGACAGUCCACCAACACCUAGAAACUUGGAUAGACGGCCCAUAGACCUGGAGUUAAUGGAUAGCCGGCAGAGACAAACAACGGCGUUAGAAAAAUAUAUUAAAUGAAAUGUAACAGUGAAAGUGGGACAAUCCUUGAGUCGACAAUUUUGCUGAGCUCACUGUCCAGCACGGAUUGACAGGCGAGAAUGAGGACCGGAGUCCCAACCGUAUCUGCCGACCGACAACGGCUGAGCUGGCGCUGAUAUCCGCUAACGGCUGCGCGUCUUCAGCAGCUAGAGUGAAAGUGUCAUCUAAAACAUAAUACCGGUUUUUCACAAUUCAAUUUCCCAGCAGCCCUGCUUUGAAGUUUGCUUGCGAUUAGCUCUCUCAAUAACCACGCAGAGCAAUACGUGGAUCCCUAUCCAUCAAAUCGACCUUGUGUUAGAUUGGUGUAUUGCGUUGUCGUAUCGUCCAAUGUUCGUUAAAAGCAGCAACGCAGGAAAUUCCAACAAUCCCUCAACUUUCGAACCGGUUUUAGUUAGACCCAUUGCCGCUCUUCUGCAGUUCCUAUUUUUAAUUGUUAAGAAAUUCCACUGCUAGAAUUUUCGAUGAUUGCGAAAGAAGAAGCGAUAGUCAACAGUGUUUAGAGAGAUGUUGUGUGAGUUUGCAGUUUAUUUUUUUUUUAAUUCGACAAAGAGCGGGUUUGUAGGAAGCAUAGCUUCCUACCAAAUUGAUGCUGUUUUAGUUUUUUGCUUUAUUUAUUAUUUUGGUUCAUUUAUAUCUGCGAAAGUGGAGUGAACAAUGUAAAUAUCGUCUAUUCGGUAUGUUACAGCUAAAGUUAUUACCAUUUAUACUUUCAAUCAAUGCAAAUUAUGGCAUCCUUUCAACAACCACUUAAAUUUCGGAUGUAUUUUACACUACGUACUAUGUACCUGUGUGAACCAAUUCCUAAUUAGAGAUACCAAGAUAAUAAUUUUACAAUCACUACAAAAUUGCCACGCGGAUUUUAUCCAUCUGGACAUGUCAUAACUUCGAAUUGUAUCAAUAAUCGGGAAGCAAAUGGGGUGCUUGAAUUCACAGCGCUGGCAAAUCCUAUCUAUCAAAAUCGUUAGCAUUGUUGGUUGCAUUGUACUGCGGAUGAACGAAGAUCUUUUCGAAAAAGUUCUUCAACCAGAAAUUAUUAAAUCAAUUUAACCACUCUGUUACAUUUCCCACCUACAUAGUAAUGUAAUGUAGUCAUAAUGUGUGCGCUGGAAGCAUGCUGAACUGGUCUCAAAUUUACUCGUUCACAAUCAUUUUCAGCGCGCUGUCCAUUGUCCACAGACAGACAGGUUGCACGUACACCUGUGUGCAUAAACAUGGGAACUUUUUUUUUUUGGGCUUAAGAAUCGACCACAGAUUUUCUAUCGGGUUGAGGUCAGGACUCAACGCAGGCCACGGUAGAACGCGCACAUCCUGGUUUGCCAAAUAACACCUAACUGUUCGCGAUGUGUGCUUUGAGUCGAUAUCAUGCUGAAAGAUGUAAUGCUCUUCGUCUCCGAAUUUUCUUCGGGCGUAUGGCAACAUCUUACGACUAUGUAUUCUAUUUCAUCCUAUUUUCAUCCACCACAAGCUGGAUGCAGCCAGAUGUUCUUCCAGAAGUUUUGAAAAGGACCUGUCGACUUACCCGUAGCCUCGCUACGAAUGGCGCUGUCGACAAACGUCCGCGAACGGCCGAACACCUUGCAGAUUGUCUUUAUUGGUACGUUCUCACGAGACAGCCCCUGAAUGUGUUUUCGCUCCUCUGGUAUGCAGUGCUUUCUAUAUCAACGCCCUGGCCCUGGAAGCAUGCUGAACUGGUUUCAAAUUCACUCGUUCAUUUCGUAUCUUGCUGGAGUACGAAGAAUGUCGUUCGAGUUGCGCGCACAUUCUUCACUACUCCACAAUCAAUUUCAGCGCGCUGUCCAUUGUCCACAGACAGACGGGUUGCACGUACCUGGUCAUCGUGAUAUUGGAGCUCAGCUUGAUCAAGGCUAUGUCGUUGACGAUGCUGGCUUUGCUAAACCCUGGAUGUAUGAUUAUCUCCCGCGCAUAUAAGGUUAGCAAUAUUAGUCUAUAUACUAACAUUAGCUUUAUACUGAAUCAAAGUUACUUGCAGUAAUUCCUAGGUACGAUUUUCGUCCUUUAAUUCUGAUCGGUCAACUGACUGAACAGCUGAUAACCAAAGGUGGUUAACAAAUUGGGCAGAGCCUUCGGCGGGUUUCGCAAAGCGUCGAGAUACACCAGAACACGAGUGAUGCUCGCUUGACGAAAUUCGCAUGGUUGAAGCACUGAUUCGUAGCAGAAAAAUGUUCGUUGGUUGUAUUUCGUCAUUCACUUUACGGUUGAAACGAUGGACAACUAUCUCACAUUAAAAAAAACCCUUUAAGUUACACGUGAGAACUAAUGACACCUGGUGACUUCUUCUAUAAAAGGCCCAUGGUCUCCUCGUGUGACAUAGGCGGCAGUUCCAGUUGGAAGUUGCCUUGGAAGCAUGUGCGAAUUCUUUGCACUUCUUCCCUAUCAAUACUCCCCUUGGAAGUAUCUCCAUUUAGCCGUGCUUGAAUCCAUCAAUGCAUUGAAGCUUUCUUGCGUUGGGUAUUCGGCCGGCCUUAUUUUCGAGUUAAAACAAUUGAUUCUAUGUUACGACUAUACUGUAGCUCGAAUCCUCUUAGGCUUUACUUGCUUUCCUCUUUACAUUUAAGAAACAUACUAUCAUUUUACAGCCGCAUUGUUGAAUUUAUUGAAUUUACAAUCGCCUCCACUUCAUUACAAACCCCUUUAACUCCAUACUCAAACUCACACACGUCUCAAAGCAAUAUACAAUGAAGAUCAUCUGAAAGGAACGUAAAAGAGAAACAAUAGCUGUUUAAAGAUAAGUUUUGAGGAAUCAUGUAAACGGUCUCUUUUAUAAAUGAUAUUCCAAUGCAUUUAUAUGAAAUAAAAAUAUAAAAAUGUACACUGAAUGUCCCAAA